rnacentral:rRNA from 1 species
UACGUAGGGUGCAAGCGUUGUCCGGAAUUAUUGGGCGUAAAGAGCUCGUAGGCGGUCUGUCGCGUCUGCUGUGAAAACUCAGGGCUUAACCCUGAGCUUGCAGUGGGUACGGGCAGACUAGAGUGCGGUAGGGGAGACUGGAAUUCCUGGUGUAGCGGUGAAAUGCGCAGAUAUCAGGAGGAACACCGGUGGCGAAGGCAGAUCUCUGGGCCGUAACUGACGCUGAGGAGCGAAAGCGUGGGGAGCGAACAGG